rnacentral:lncRNA from 1 species
UUCCUCAAUGAUUGGCUGCUCCUCAGCCUCAGCUGCUACCAGAUGCUGCUGUUUUCGACCUUGGCGGUGUGAGAUUGUGGUAAGUGCGAUGGAGUCAAUUAGAAUGGCACAAGGCAAUAUGUUACAAGCACAUUAAGCACAAUAUUACGGGCCAACCUUGGUUUUUUACCAAGUUUGUAUAAUAUUUGGUUUAAAAAAAUUCCUGUUGCUGCUUCAUCUGCCGGCAAGAGAGAGG